GACGGAAGGUGCAAGCGUUGCUCGGAAUCACUGGGCGUAAAGGGUGCGUAGGCGGCUUCUUAAGUCUGGUGUGAAAGCCCAGGGCUCAGCUCUGGAAGUGCACUAGAAACUGAGGAGCUUGAGUACCGGAGGGGAGAGUGGAAUUCACGGUGUAGCAGUGAAAUGCGUAGAUAUCGUGAGGAACACCAGAGGCGAAGGCGGCUACCUGGACAAUUGCUGACGCUCAGGCACGAAAGCGUGGGGAGCAAAAGGG
rnacentral:rRNA from 1 species